CCUUCUGCCAUGCCUUGCAACCAGGCUCUGACACAAUUCACAGCUCUUUGUUUGCUUUAACCAAAACCACCUGGAAGCAGUUUUACAUUUUUUUUACUCAGACUUUCCUUGAAUGAAAGCAAGGUGGCCAGUUGGAAAGUAGAAAAGGAAGCUCUCAGAAGAUUAAUUUUUUUAGCAAUGAAUGCAGGAAACUCUUCAUUGUUUUAAUUCAUUCUCCUGGUGUAAGAUUAAUUUUAGCUCUGAACACAACAACCUGUUAUGGAUUGAUCCUAGGGAAGUAUAUUGCUCUGAGGCUGGGAAAACAACAUGAGUAGCUUUUCCCUCCCUUUAUUUGGACAAGUUUAGCUAACUCAUGGCUGCCAUCCUAACUACAGUCUCUUCCCUGCGGAAAUGUGGAUUGUGCUCCUGCUGCAGCUUUCCCAAUCCAUCCUCUGUGUGACACCAUGAGGGAGCUGGCAAGAAUUAAAGAAUUAAAACCAGCCUAAGGCCACUGGUCCCCUGGCAGCAGAGUCCCACUGCUUCUCUCUUCAGGGAUGCUGUGGUUGGCAGCACCACGAUGGCAGCUUGGUUUGGAUCCCCUCUGUCCCUUCACAAGCUGUAGGUGCCUCUGGGGCUGCAAAGUCCUUUAAUGACUAAAUUGGAUUUAAGGGCGUUUUGGUGCAUUCCAAAACAAAUCAAAGUUUGUCUGUAAAACAGCCAGACUUGGCUCUGGGCAGAGAUGGAUGUGCUCAUCUCUCACACCCAGAGCUCUGCUUGCCUGGGAUCCCACCUUAUGCAUCAGGAAAAGUCAUUCAACACCUGAGUGGGCAGGGACUGAGACUCCUCCAGCCCCAGGAAUGAGAAAUGGCUCACUCCAUCCCUACCUGGCACUGGAGAGCACUGCUGGCUCUCCUCUGACACCUAAGACCUUCGUGGGCAUGACCUGGAGCUCCACUGUGGCUCAGAGCCACAGAGACCGUGGGAACGCUGGCUGGGUCUGGAGGAGAUAAAAGGUCCAGCAACACCUUCCAGAGCUGGGUUCAGAAGCAGAAGGCCAGCUCUGCAGCAAGUGUGAAAUCUGUGAGUUGAGCACAGAGCUGCAGCCAUUCAUGCUUUUUUCUGACAUCUGUUAAGAGAAUGGGAGGAAGGGAAAUCAGCUGUACUCUAGGAGAAAAGAGGCUUUUUUGUUGUUGCUGUUUUGGUGAGCAGUGAGUAGCUGCACUCCCCCAGAUGCUGCUGAUCCCAAUGCCAGCUGCACAGAGCACAGCAUUUCUGGCUGCCUGGAGCUGGUGCCUUCACACACCCCAGAGCAAGCCAGAUCUGCUGUACCUGGAGAAAACUGAGGGUGCAGCAGGCUUGCUGCUGUUGUGUGACUUAGAUGCGUAUUGAACAACAACAUUCCUGACAGGGUGGGAUCAUGCUGUUACAGUUCCACUGGAGUAACACAACUACUGCACUCUGGUUUGUGCUGCUCAAUAUCCAUGGCAGUCCAUACCUGGCUUUAUACUCCCAAGCUUCUCUGCUUUUUCAGGUGUGCAGACCCACUGUUUGCAAAGUGAGGCUGUGCAGGUGGAGAACCAGGUUUAUGCAGCCCCUGCUAGCAAACUGCACAUCCCACAGAGCCAGGAGCAGGAGCCACUGGUGGGAAAAGGCUGCUGCUGUCCAGGGAAGCCCUGCCACAUUCCUCUGCCCCUUUUUAGCUUGGGAGAUGGGAGAGCAUGAGGAUGGCCAGACUAGAGAGCCAGAUCAGCACAUCAGCAGGACCAGCCUCAGUGACCUGCUGUUUGCUGAUGGAGGUGGACAAACGUCUCCAUAGAGAGCCAGGACCUCUCUGCUACCUGAGCUGGCUCCUGAACUUGAACCCAAAUGGGACAGCUUCUGAGAUUCUGAAAUACUGUAGACAAAGCUGACUGGGGCUUUUUUCCCCCACUUUUUCCUCACUUCCAGUUUCUGGCAGCAGCUAGAAGUGGGAGUAGCAAAGUCCCCAGCGUGAGCCUGCUUUCUCUGGCUCUACCUUGCAAACUCAGGAAGUUUGAGGAGGUCUGAUAAUCACCCUUACCUUGCUUAUUUAUCAGCUUAGUCUCCACCCGAGGGCGUUCCCAGUGCCCUACCUGAGCUGGCUUUGCUCACACCACCGUGCUGGCUGGCUGCCACUGCAGUGCUCACUGUGGUAGGAGUACACAGCAUCGGGACUUUUGGUCCCAUCCUCCUGGGCUUUUCCCAUUUUUUCUCUCCUGUUGAAGAUGCUUCAACAAAAUGGUGUUUGUGCUGUGGGGAUAGCAAUGGGCUGCCAUCACUUUGUAUCACAGCACAACUUCACUGCAGUAUUUAAGGUGCCUGGCUCAAAUACUUGUGGUUGGACAACUGUGAAUUUGACUUUACCUGUACUGGGACUUUUCAGCCCCGUCCACAAUGCAUAAUUCACUUAGAUGAUUGAAUUGUAAUGUUGACUCCCCUCACUCAUGUCAUCCUAAUUUUUUGAUUCUGUGCUCCCAUGGAUCAUUGCUAUGCAGAUGUUACACAGACCUCAUGACCAUUCGUGUGUUUCCUUAUCACAGGCUUCAGUGUUCUACAAACAGUGUGGACCUAGGAGAUCACGGUGCUUUUUCCUGGUUGCCAGCAUCUAGCCCAAAGGGGGAGGCAGGUUUGGAGAAGUUGCUUGUUUCUAUGGAUAAUAAUCAAUAAGAUCCAUUAGGGAGACAAGUACAUACAUCACUAAACUUUGACCUCUGCUCUCCAGAUCAGUCCCAAGAUGCCUAUUCAUAUGCCGGUGACAUCCAGAUUGUGCUGUUGCAAAAGCCUCUUUGCUUGGGAAGGGAUUACAGAUUUAAAUUGCACAGCCUUUGCUAUCUGUAGAGUACAGCAUGCAGGAUGCUUAGCUAGAGCCUCUAGUUUUUGUUGGCUUUCUUUACUACUCAGCCUAGUUUUAUAUUUAAGGCUGUUGCAUGCAGAGUGCUGUAUGCUUCUCUACCUUUCAGGCUGUUUUUCAUUCCAGUCUGUCUGGCAUUUUAAGGGUUUACAGACCCUGGAGAUUCCUGGCACUGGCUGCUGCUUGCAUAUUGCUCCUCAUCUUUCAGAUCCUUUUUCUCCUUGCUCUUCGGCAGGCUGUUUCUGAUAGAAAGUUUUUGGCUUGCUGUUUGAAGUUCCUGAUAGUCGGCAUUUGAUCACUUGCUAAUUCAGUUCUACAACUUCUUUCCAAAGAAACUAUGAAAGACUAUCUAAAAAUAGAUUUAAAAAAAAAUAAGAAGAAAGAAGACUUUAAAAAUACCCUUAUUUUGCUGAAUACAGGAAGUUUUAAGUUUUCUGGGAGGAAAAAACCCACAUACCAAAUUUAGAAGCAAAUCAGAGAUCCCAGGAUGUUUGAGAAAUCCAUUUCUAGGCACAAAAUCUGGAUGAAGAGUUUUCUUCUCCCUGUACGUCUUCCCUUCCCUUAAGAGAACAUCCACCGGAAUCUGUUAGCUGGGAACAAGCCAGAUGAGAUCCUUUGGUGUGGGUGGGUGAGAAGGGAGAGACAGGACUCUGGUGACAGCCCUGGGGUCUGCCCUCAGCGGGAUCACAGGGCCUGUGAGCUGCUCCACUGGGUGAUUCCUUCUGCAAACGAUCAAGGUCCAUCUUUACAUCGAGUGCCUCUGCUCCUCCCACUGCAAAGCUGUUUCUGUUCCGUGUUCCUCUGAAGGUUAGAAACAGAUGUCUAGUUUCCAUCCCACAUGUCCAGCAUGGAUCAGUUGCACUCUUCAUUCUUGUCUAAGAGCUCUUUCAUUGCUGCAAUGUGCUGCCUCCUUCCCCAGUGUAUUUUACAGUGGUCAUAUCUCCUUCUUUGUUUCCCCAGGCUGAGAAAGUUGAGUUUGUAGAGACUCCUUUCAUAAAAUAGGUUUUCCAUUUCCCUGACCAUCCUAGAAACUCUUCUCCAUGCUUGUCCCUGCUUGAAUGUAUUUUUGUCUUCAGCUGGAGAAUUCCAACAAGAUCUUGGCUGUGCACUGUUCAGUGGUGUUAAAUGCUUCCUUGUCUCCAUUCUUUGGUACUUCUGACACCCCUGCUUGACACUGGCCUUUCCAGGAGCUGAGUCACACCAGUGGCACUCAAACACUUGAGGCAGGUGUUCUCCCUCCUGUGUGCCACACCAAUGAGCUUCUGCUCCAGGAGAGAAAGGCUGAUUACAAGCAGCCAGCUUGUCAAAGUCGGUAGCAGCAUAUUUCACCCCAUUUCCAUUUUGCUCUCUCAGAGUUGCUCUCUUUUUCCAGUGUGAUAUUCUCAUCUUCAGGUUAUAAGCACAAUCCCUCCUUUUCCUAGUGGAGUCACGAAAGGAAGUACCAAGUAAUGUUCAUCCCCAGGCAGUUUUGUGAGGACCUCUACCAAUUAUCUCUCCAUUUCUUUCUUGCUUCAUCCCUUGCCCACUUUGCUAUGCUUGUGCUCCCAGCACAACUAAAAAUAGCCCAUCUGACCUUGCAUCCAGCUCAUUCCUGAAGUCUGGAAAAUGGAACUCUGUGUGGUAACUUCUGCUUAUUGUCCCCCCCACUUAUCCGUGAACUCUCUGUCCCUGUAUUAAGCCAAAAUGGUUGUUAAUUCAGUAAAUUUUGCUGGAACAUGCGUACAUCUCUGUGUUGCACCAGGGCCAUCCAUCAGCCAGCUCUGUGUUUACACAAUCCCUAGUACAUGGCUUUUCCCAAAAAGAUUAUGAACUCGGUCUGGGCCAUAUAUUCAGAGAUGUUGUCAAGUGCUAGGUGAGAUUUCCAAGAGUAGUUUCCUCCUGACUUCUCUCUGGCAUUGGUACUGGAACCCCAUGGCAGUUAACGCUGUGCUUUGAAGCAAGAGAGGGUGCAGUAUGCUGGCCACCAGUGCCUCUGGGCAGUGCUUGUUUUCUGGUUUGGUGUUUUAUUUUGUGGUGAAGACUUCCAGGCUACUGAGCACAGGCUC
ensembl:lncRNA